rnacentral:rRNA from 1 species
UAGGGAAUCUCCACAAUGGACGAAAGUCUGAUGGAGCAACGCCGCGUGAGUGAAGAAGGGUUUCGGCUCGUAAAGCUCUGUUGGUAGUGAAGAAAGAUAGAGGCAGUAACUGGCCUUUAUUUGACGGUAAUUACUUAGAAAGUCACGGCUAACUACGUGCC